GGUUUUACUACUUGUGAAAAUUGAGGAAAAAAAACCCCCAAAAAACCCCAAAGAAAUAUUUGCAAGGACGCUGAAAUAGUUUGCCAGGGACGCCAGAACUCUAAGAACUAAAUGAUGGUAAGUUUUCUUUCUUUCUUACAUUUUUUCUGAACAGUUUACUCUGAAGGUAAAUAGUAAAGCACCAAAACAAGGCUUCAGAUGAAACUUCUAGGAAUAAACGGCUGUGUGUUAUGAAAACAUACAGUCGUUUAUUCCUUGAUCAAUUAUUUUGAUUUAACUCUGGAACCAGUACUACACUUGGAAUGAUGAUGAUCACUAUUACGUUUCACUCAAAUAACUCAGCAACAUCAAAACCAUUUUAUGCUGCCAAGAUUCCAAGAUCUUUUUCAAGUUGAAAUAUUCAAUUUACAGUAUUAUUUCUUUACUAAAAGAAAUAAAACAGUGAAAUUGAGGAGAAAAACAAAUUAGAAAAAAACAAAACAAAACAUUUAAAUUAGGAGAAAAUUCUUGGAAUAAAACACAUUUUACUAAAUCAAUAGCAACAACAAAUUUAAUUUUCUUCUUACAAUUUAAUUACUAAUUUGUUUUCGUAAAAAUUGCUGAAUAGUUUUUAAUAUUUGCCUGAUUUUGCAAAACAUUUACAUUGAUAAAUGAUGGUUCUGCGCACUUACUGCUGGAAUGAAAAGUUAUCCAUCUCCAAAUAGUGAAUCAGACAAAAAUUAUUUGUUUACCAUUGUAAUUUCAUUUCUAAAUGAAGGAGUACAUUUGUACUGAGGAUCACAAAUAUGUGUCAUAUACUCCGUUUGGAUUUAGCUGUCUAUAAGUUAUACCCUCCUAUCCUCCAAUUUUCUGUAAAAGUUGAUCAAAAAUAACAAUUCUUUAAAUGACUAGGUCCUGCGUUGGCGCCUUGUGGUUGCUUUUGUCUCUCUCUCUCUCUCUCUCUCUCUCUCUCUUUUAUUAUUGUUCUUUCUUAGGUAGCGAACGGACAGGAUCGUUAGAGCGUCGGAAAAAAUUGGUGUGCGUUAUUCAUUCUGGCUCAAAUUCCGCCGAUGUCUUCUUUGCCUUCUAUCUCUUCGAGGUCGAUGAAAUAAAGUAUCAGUUAAGUUUCUCUCAGAAUUGGUGGCCUUGCUUCUAAAUUAAAACAAUUAUUGUCCUCUUUGAUAGUGGCAAUGAAAACCAUGAGUAACUGGCAACCAAAUUACAAAUGGUAAACAAUCAGGUUAUUGUGCCCUGCGAUCCUUGUAAAAACUCGGGAAAUACACGUACAAACUGACCUUAUUAAACUUUAUUGGGCGGCGAGUUAGCCCAAACGGGAAGAACCACGAUAAAUACCUUAUACAAUUUAGUUUCUUAACUUUUCAUUCUCAGUUCAAAUCACGUUCGACUUUGGUUUACAACACUUACUAAACAUAUGAAAUAGGUACCAGUAAAAUACUGAGUUACCUUUAAUCAACUAUAUAGUCCCAACUAAAAAGAAAGAAGAGGAAAAGAAGUCCGGGAACAUGUAUAAUUUGGUCAAUGUUCUGUGAGCAGAAUUUCACAGACGGCAACUGUGUAGCUAUUUGGCUAUAUGUCAUGUACGUAUUCGUGUUUAUGCUUAUAGUACAACACCAAUUUAAAAAAAGUGUUGUACAAAACAAGAAAAAAAAGGAUAAGGAUAAAAUAUGUACCUUGUUAAAGUAAGUAAUUUCGAGUCUUUAAUGACUGUCAAAAAAUAAUUCUUUAAAAGUGUGGCUCCCUGGUUUAAUGGCUGUUAAUAAUUAACAAUGAAGAAACAAAUAUUUGUGUGUGCGCGUGCGCACGCGUGUGUAGUGGGAAAGGGUUGAGUUAAGAGACGAACUACACGCAAGAGAACAUUUAGUUUCUUCUCAGGCUCGACAUGCCGGUAAUACCGGUGAUAUACUGGUGUCGAAUUACUCGACUACUUUAACUUUUGUCGGGAAAUCUAGGAAUGACCUAAUUUUUAAUCAAAAGGGAAACGAGCAUUUCGAAAGUUUUGUGACUAACGUUGUAGAACAAGACAGAAAUUCCCAACAAGUUGGGUCUGCUGCGACGAAGUUCCAAUCACAGUUUGGAAGCCACGAGAAAUCAUGAAAGCCAUCACAUCAGUUUCUCCCUUAAAAAUUUAGGCCUUGUGCCUAAUCAUAAAGAAACGAACAUUAUGAUAAUUUUACUAGAUAAGCUGGAUAAUUACCAGAAUAAAUGAUUCUUCGCUUAGUCUACUCGCCGCCAUAAAUAUUUUAGUUAAUGUUUAAUAUGAUAAUCACCAGUAAAUGCCAAUAGUAGUAGUAGUAGUAGUAGUAGUAGUAGUAGUAGUAGUAGUAGUAGUAGUAGUAGUAGUGAUAGUAGUAGUAAUAGCAACAACAAUAACAGCAGCCACACCAACACGGCAGGCAUAAUGAUUACCACCACCACCACCACCACCACCACCACCACCACCACAACAACAACAACAACAACAACAACAACAACAACAACAACAACAACAACAACAACAACAACAACAACUACAACAACAGAAAUAAGGACAUGAAGCACAACUGCAAUAGACUACAUCACUGUCAUCAGAUCACUAUCACUACCACUACCAGAUCACCACCACCACUAAAACAGAUCACCACCACCACUACCAUCGUCUCACCAGAUCCAUCUCCACCAUUGGUAACAAACUCCAUCACUGUCAUCACACUUCCACCACCACCACCAGCCGCAACUAAUUAUAACAACCUCAAAAGCUUGGUCACUCGAUCCCCUGGUAAAGUAAGCCAUGUUCCUACAAAUUGCAUCUCAUCAUUUUGAAAAACACAUUGUAUAUCGCAGUCAUAAAGCUAUGAAGACUGGAAGGUCACGGCUGGAAUGUCUAUGAUCGAAAAAUUGCUCAGUCGGGGACAACCUGGUACAAAACAACAGCAACAAAACUCCGCUGCCGCCUUCACCUCCAGCACUAUGUUUAAUAACAACAUAAAGACACCCCCUCCUGCAUCUACACCACCACCACCACCAUCUUCAAUAGCAACAACGUGAAUUCUCCCACCGCCCUCAUCAGUACCAUCCUCACCAAAACCACCCCACCACCAACAAUAACAUAAAGACCCCUCCCCUCUUCCACCACCACCACCAAUACCAUCUGCACCAGCAUCGCUAUCAUCAUCACCAGUAGGAAGUAAAAGAGAACUAUCGACACACAAAAAUAGUGGGAUUGGUCACGUGAUUCGGUCGACUAGUAAACACCAACAUCCGGUGUCGUUCCUCGUAAGCUGCACGUCUAUCGCUAUGUAUCUAAAUAUUUUGUUUUCUUAAUUCAGCCUGCUUAUCUCGGUUUUCUUAACGUUCAUUCACGCCCCCACCAUGGCCUCUCAGAGAAUUUUUUUUCUUCACUUCUAUUUUCUUAUCUACUUUUUCUUAUUUAGCUAACUGCAUGCACACACACACACACACACAUACACACACACACACACACACACACACACACACACACACACACACACACACACACACACACACACACACACACACACACACACACACACACACAUAAUAUAAAACACGUGCUUUUUAUCACUCUACCUAUCUGUUUUCUCCGUAUGAAAAACUCUUGUACACAUACAUUCGUAUGUGUAUGAACUGCGGUAUGAGUUUAUGUGUGUGUGUGUGUGUGUGUGUGUGCGUGAAGAAGUAAGAAAAAGUAAGAGAAUAGUGUGUAUGUCAUCUAUCUAUCUAUCUAUCUAUCUAUCUAUCUAUCUAUCUAUCUAUCUAUCUAUCUAUCUAUCUAUCUAUCUAUCUAUCUGCCUAUCUCACUGCCUAUCUUUGUCUGUCUCAAAGAGAAUCCAUCUGCCAGUCUAUCUGGCCUACCAUUUCCUUUUACUCCCAGUCACCUGACUUUAUCGUCUGAAUAUAUUUUCAUGGGUAUGUAUAACAACCUCCUACCCCUCCCUCUCUCUUAGUUCUUUCUCUUUCUCUCCCUCUCACACACACAUGCACUAUGUAAAGUUUUUUCAAACACUACAUUCUGCACAAAUAAAUCUGAUAUAGAACCUCGAACACAUACAUACAUACAUACAUACAUACAUACAUACAUACAUACAUACAUACAUACAUACAUACAUACAUACACACAUGCAUGCAGACACGCACACAUACAUACGUACCUAAAUACAUACAUAAAUACAUACAUACAUACAUACAUACAUACACUCGCGGCAAUCUGGACGGUGUGUAAAAGUUUAGAAUUAACCAAAAAGAACAACUUACACGAACUUUACAGAUGCAAUCUGUAAUUGGAAUAGUGAAAAUGUGCAAGAUUUACUGAAAGUUCGAUAAGUAGCUAUUUUUGUCAUUGUUAUUCACAUUCUAACGACAGUUUCUUAGAAACCAGUUCCCUGCUUUUUGGAAAAACAUUAAUGAAUUUUUAAGAAACUGAGAGCAUACAUAUAUAAUUGGUGCACUCGCGAAUGUUAUCAAACGUCUAGUGCCAAUCUGGAAAAGGUAGGAUUUACAGGCAAAUGAAAACUAAAUAAAUAAAUACAAUAAAUAAAUAAAAGAGACUGGUUAGCUUGCACUUUACAAAUGCAAUUUGUAAAUGGAACGGUAAAAAUAUGCAAAAAUUUUCAACAUGUGACACUUAAUGCUGUUGUAUUGCAAAUUCCGGGAUGAAGACAUACAUACAGAUGUACAUAUAUAGACGCAGGCACACACACACGCAUACGCUUGCGCGCAUACACAAGCUCUCACGCGCACACAAGCACUUAAAUACUAAAGAGACAUGUUCACAAUGCAGGUGCAAACCCUGAAAACUGUUUUGUUUUCACUUGAAACUCUAUUAAGAACUUAAAUAAAUCUCGAAGAAAAGUAUUCAUUCACACAAAUACAUACAUAUACUUAACCCCACUUAAACGCGGAUGUCCUGUUACAACAAACUAUACUGUGGUAGGUACAAUGGAAGAAAGUCUCAUUGACUUUUAGUGUAAAAUGUACUCUUGUUUAUAUCGCUAGCGGUCGAACGUCCAUCAUUGAUAAAACCAAGGAAGGUCGAAAUAACGUGAUUUGGUGUCUCGAUGCUGGAGAUGUACAUACACAUAUACACACACAUAUACAUACAUGCGUACAUACAUACAUACAUACAUACAUACAUACAUACAUACACUUACGAGCAACCAGGAUCAUUUACACGCCACCAUCCGAAACAAAAUGUUGGGCUGUUUGUUGAAUUGUUGUUGGUUUAAGAUUACUUCCCCUAGUUAUGUGUAUCUUCUAGGUUCCACACACACAGCACAGUAUUGACGUUAACAUUGUUUAGCCACAUAGAUCCACCCUAAUCGGGUAAACCUAUAAUAAAAUACGUCCAAACCGUAACCAUCAUAUAUUUUUAUAUAUUUCGAUCUAGAUUGUUCAAUGUGCUAUUUCUUUUGUAAAAUUUUUUCUCAGAAAAGUAUUUUGCUAUUUUUUAGCAGUUAUCACUUGUUUGUUUAGCCUCACAUCAACCCAGAUCAAAGGUUUUUCCAGUCGUGGGCUUCCUGUCAUUAUAGAAAUAUAUAGGACUACGCUGACUAUUAUGACCUUCUUUAUUGGAAGCAAAUAUGGUGAUUUCAUGAGUACCUUUUUGCAGAUUGGGCAAGCCUGUUGAGGAACCUACACUGGCUUGACGUUUAUGGAAUUGACGAUAUUGAUGCUAUCUGAUUUGGCAGUGACGUAGCGUGGUUUCGGCAGCCCUGUGCGGUAGCCAAAUUGGCCGCUUCCUUAAACGUAACAAACCUUCAACAAAAUCAAAAGUGCAUUUACAAUAAACCGGUCACCGUUGCACAUUUUGUACACCCACGCUACGUCACUGGGAUUUGGGCAUAAGAUCAAAGUAUUUGAAGGGUGGAGCUAUUACUGAUUUGCCAGAUUCUAGUCCUAGACUACUAUAUAUUGUAUCAAUAACGGAAGAAUUGAUUAACAAUGUUGAUCUUCGUUAGAUUUGAACUUAAAACGUGAAAAACCUUUUUUUUUCUUUGGCUUCUCGGUUUGUGAGCUAAAAAAAUUGAUUUCUAAAAUGUGUGUAUAUGAGUGUGUGUGCGAGCGCGAGCGAUGUGUGCUUCCUUGGAAAUUUAUUUUAUUGAUCUUCGAAAGGAGAAGCAAUACGUAUACUAGCAGGAUUUGAACUCAGAAUAUAAAGGGGCAUAACUGAGAUGCAGAUGCCUUUGGAAGGAGGUAGUAGGUAAAGAAGGGUGACUUGAAAUCAAAGGCAUAAGUGAUUUUCUGUGCUGCGCAGGAACAGGCACUUAAGACAAAUUAUACCAAAUGCAGGAUUGACAAUGCUGCAGAAAGUGUGUGGUGAGAAAGGUGAGACUGUAUGGCGUAUUAUGCAUGAAGCUGCUCUAAAAAAUACAAAAAAAAAAAAGAAAGACAUGAUAAUGUAAAAAUGAUUCAUUGAAAGUUGUGUGGCAAAUAUGAAUUGGAUAAAGUAAAGACGUGUUAUGGGUAAACACCAGAAGGAGAAUUACAAUGUAACGACAGAGUGGAAUAUAAAUGAUCCAACAUGAUCAUGAAAUUGAACAAGGAAAGCUGGGCAGAGUGCUUGUGAAUAAAGACGAGAGAAAAAAAAAGACCUGUUUAAUCAUAGAUAUUGCACGGUGAUGACAGUAUCGAAAAGAGAAACAGUAGAUAUGAUUGAUUUGAAAUAGAUCAAAAAACUGUGGCCACUGAAGAAGUUUAGUGUUGUACCUGAUAUUGUUAGAGCUCCGAGAACUAUAAUAACCAAGCUCACAAACUGGAUUGAAAAUAUAGGAGUAAAUGGGAAGAUAGAGCAACAACAGAAAAUAACAUUGCUUAAAACAGCACGAAUUUUCUGCAGAGACCUCGAAAUCUGAAUGAUGAAUGUUAGCGUAUGAGAAUGUUUGUUAGCGUAUGAAGAAUGUUUGUUAUGAGCUGCAUUAAGCAGCACCACUAGCAGCAGCAGUAGCAGCAGCAGCAGCAGCAGCAACAACAACAACAACAACAGAAACAAGAAUGGUUUCAAAUUUUGGUACAUGGCCAGCCAUUUAAGGUGAGAGGUUAAGUCGAUUACAUCGUCCCCGGUGCUUGACUAGUACUAAUUUUAUCGACUCUGAAAGGAUGAAAAGCGAAGUCGACUUCGGUGAAAUUUGAACUCAGAACAUAAAGACGGGCGAAAUAACCGCUAAGUAUUUUACUCGGCCGGCUAACGAUUCUGCCAGUUCACCGCCUUACUACUACUACUACUACUACUACUACUACUACUACUACUACUACUACUACUGCUGCUGCUGCUGCUGCUGCUACUACUACUACUGCUGCUGCUGCUACUACUACUACUGCUGCUACUACUACUACUGAUGAUGAUGAUGAUAAUAAAUGCCCUGAUGCAGUACCAAGCAGUGGCUCUCAAUGUUUCUGAUCUUAACUGAUUGAAAGUGUUAUCAUGUAUAUUGUUUUGUCUUGGUAUAAAAGAUAGGCCACAACAAAUAUUGUGCCCAAUACCACAGAUUUGCUUGACCUCAGCCAUCUCCCUUAGUAGUUAACGAUAUGUUCAUCUCUGGUCAGAAGCAGGAAUAGUGGGGGAGCAUCAUAGCCGUGUGUUGGGGGAAUUCUUUGGGGUUUGAAUAAUUCACCUCUCGAAACAUGGAUGUUUCGUUUGUCAUCCUUAAAUUAACCUUAUACAGUUACCUUUUGAUCAAGAUGGGCGACUCUAUCUGAAGAAAAUUCUAACUGGGCCACAUCUGCAAGGUUAUAUGCUGUUUAUCUUGAUAUGAGACCACCAUGUCGCGCACAUAUGGUUGUGAUGCACUCAUAUGGUUGUGUGCUUGAGUACCCUUAUCAGACGGGUAGUCAUGAUGAGUAUUGGCGAUAUUAAUGGUCUCUGAUUUGGAAUUGACGUAGCGUGGUUUUGGCAGCCCUGUGCAGUAGCUAAAUUGGCUCCUUCCUUAAACGUAGCGUACCUUGCACAAUAGCAAAAAUGCGUAUAUAAUAAAUCGGCUGCCAUUGAGCACUCUGUACGUCAGUGUGAUUUGGGGAUAAGAUCAGAGGUCUUCCUCACAUCCGAUGUCAUUUUGUAUCUUUACAAGUCCACAAUUGACCCUUGUAUGGAAUACUCUUACCAUAUUUGGGUAGGUUCACCAUCUUGUCACUUGCAUCUCCUCGUCUAAGUUCAAAAACGUGUCUAAUUUUUGCAUCAACUCUGCAACCCUUGUUACAUCGAUAUGAUGUCGCUAGUCUUUUCUAUCGUUAUUACCACAGGAAGUGCUCUAAUGAAUUUUCUCUCAUAAUUUCAGGUUACUUUACUCAGCAUCUUCAUCUAAAUGCUGUUGUACUUCCACGACAGGCGUAGCUUCUCUGCCAGACUUCUAGACUCUCUUGCACGUCAUUGUUUUUCUCUUUCGUAUGACCCAAACUCUUUCGAUUCUAAAGUAUAUUAAUUCCUCUCGUCUUAAUUUCUCCUUCAUCAUAGAACCUUGCACUAAGUGGCUUCUCGCCUGGUUUCGGACUGUCUUAUAAUUAUAAAAAUAGGACGAGGCAAAAGAAAUAGAAAAGACGGUAAAAAGCGAUAAAAAUAUACAAAGUAUGUGAUAACGUUAGUGAUACAGUUCUGAUACAGGAGAAACUUCAUCAAAGACGCCCACAGAUCCAGGGUUACUCUGGCUACCAAAGGCACGAGCCCUUUCCCAACUGUUGUUCUCUAAUCUAUCGGGGCAUGCUUAUUGUAGGGCCAUUCAUUCUAAUCAAUUUUUCCACAGUUUCUUUUCUUUUCACAAAUUCACUGGGAUGAAGCAUCUCCCUCUCAACUCUCAUUUUUCGUUCGAAGUGGAGCUUAGAAAAGUCGUUGAGGGCUUUACUGAAGACGUGUCAUCCAAUAAUGAUUUCUUUUAUUUGCUACUAGAGCGACGGAUGAGAGAGACAAUGUAAAGUCAGACAGAGCGUUGGAGUUUACAUAGAAUAAAAUGAUAUAAAAUAUGUGAAAGGUAUACACAGUAUACGGUAAAAAUAAAAGAAAGAAGUAUGCAUAGUAUACACACGUAAAAAGAAAAGAAAUUGUGAUACUGAUGUUUCACGCAUCUCAGUUGAGUAAUUUCGGCGAAAGAUUUUGUUAUUGUUGCUGUUGUUGUUGUUGUUGUUGGAGGUGGUAGUGGUGAUGGUGGCUUCGAUGUUUGUUAAAAAUUUUCAUUUUUAGUUCGUCCUCAAACUAAAAAUGUGUCUUCAAUGUUUUUGUUAAAAUUUUUCAUUUUCUAUUUAUCUUCAAAUUGCUUGUUGUUGUGGCUGCUGUUGCUGUUGUUAUUAGUGUUUUUAUUAACAUUUUCCAUUUUUUGUUUAUUUUCAAAUUUGCUGUACUUUACGUCGUCGUCUGUUUUCGCAGCAGUGACGUAGCAUAUCCCAAUCACAUUCUCUUCACAACGUUCUGGUAACGCUUCUCUCUCUUCCUCUCUCAUAAUUAAUGUUCACUGUCUCGUCUGAUGCUUUCUCCAUGGAGGAAGAAAACAAAGAAUUUCAUUACAGAAACAAGAUUAAAUCGAGCGGUUCCCCUAGAAUGGGGGACAGCGUACGAAAACAAACUCACCAGUCGGCGGUAAACAACUCAUCUUCCACGAUGUCACAUAUUUCAAAACUCAAUGCAACAGUUUGUUGUGAUUCAUAUUCGAUUUGUUUACAAAAAAAUUCAGUGCCGUUGUUAAGCGUAGCUUGCUCGGCAGACGGUAAUAAUGAUGAUGAUAAUGAUGAUGAUGAUGAUGAUGAUGAUGAUGAUGAUGAUGAUGAAGGUAGUGGCUCUCAUGGCUUCUGGUCUUAACUGAUUGGAAGUGUUAUCAUGUACAUUGUUUUGUCUUGGUAUAAAAGACGGGUUACAGCAAAUAUUCUGUUCAAUACCACAGAUUUACUUGUCAGUUGUUUGACCAUAACAGGUUGAGCAUGUCCUUGGUGGCUGACGAUAUGUGCAUCUCUGAUCACGAGCAGAAGUAGUGGGGGAGCAUCAUAGCCAUGUGUUGAGAGGGAUUCUUUGGGGUUUGAAUAAGUAUUAAUCUUCCUUACACCUUCUACUCUCUUUUUCUUCUAAGCAAUUAUGACAGCGAAAGCUGAUUUCGUCAUUUUAUCUAAACUUGAACGUAUGCUUUCUAUGCUCAUAUUUGAUUUUUUUUUUUUUGCAUUUCUAUCAUAUAUUUUGUUUUUAUUCAUUCUCGAACUUGAUGGGCAUAUAACAGCAAGUCAGCCGACAUUAAAAAUCUCUCGUGAGACUUCUUUAUCAAUGUACCUGAAGAGACCCAGACUGAUGGGUCGAAACAUGUGUUGUAUCUGAUAAAAGUCUAAUACGAAAUCCAUCUUCUACUAUUAAUUAAUACUACUACACACGCACACACACAUACACAUACACACACACAAACACACACACGCACGCACGCGCGCACACACACACACACACACACACACACACACACACACACACACACACACACACGCACGCACGCACACACACACACACACACACACACACACACACACACACACACGCACGCACGCACGCACACAUACACACGCACAUAUAUAUACUCUCUGAAACAAACCAUGCACAAAUUCGUUCUUCACAACAUCUGGAACUGCUUUCAGAUACGAUCCAUCCCAUUCUUAUAAAAAUGAUAAUUCUGUCCAAACUGAUGUGCUAAACUCAAGUUGUUGUUUAUGCAAAGCUUUAACAUCUAUUCCACAAAUGUCUUGUCGUCAUUGCUGCACUUCUUGUACCACCUGUUUCAACAUGAAUGUAAUACACACACACACACACAUACACACUAUGUAUCUAUCCGCUCAGUCGAAGUCGACUCUCGGUUACUCGAUGGAUCAGAGUCCUCCAGUCAGUUCUAUCCUGGGCCGCUUCUUUCAGAUUGGCUAUGUCCAUUCCGGUAUCACUCUUGAUGGUGUCAAGCCAGCGGGUUCUUGGUCGGCCUCUUCCUCUCAUUCCGAGCAUGAUGUCCUUCUCUAAGGAUUUUCUCCGCAUAAUAUGACCAAAAUAUGCCAAUCUAUGCUUGGUGAUCCUAGCUUCUAGCGACAUUUCUCCAUUCGUGAGCCUUGCUGUCCAUAGAAUUCGUAAAAGUCUUCUCCAACACCAAAGCUCGAAUGCAUUAAUUCUCUUCUGGUCAGCUUUCUUUAGUGUCCAGGUCUCGCAUCCAUAUGUUGCUAUUGGGAAGACAAUUGCAUUCACCAAUCUGCAUUUGGUAGCGAGUCUGAUGUCUCUACUCUUCCAGACCCUGCUCAUGCUGACCAUUGCCUCUCUGCCUAGUACUAUCCGCCGUCUUAUUUCUGGAGUGCAGUCACCAUCUCGAUUUAUUUUGCCCUUGCACACACACACAUACAAAUUAUGCCGUUUUAAUCCCGAGCAACGCCGGGUAUCUCUGCUAGUUAUAUUUAAACUUGAACGUAUGCUUUCCACGUUCAUAUUUGAAUUUUUUGCGUUUCUAUAUUUUUUUGUUUUUAUUCAUUCUCGAACUUGAUGAGCAUAUAACAACAAGCCAGCCGAUGUUGAAAAUCUCUAGUGAGAUUUGUUUAUCAAUGUACCUGAAAGACUGAUGGGUCGAAAUAUAUGUUGUACCUAAUAAAAGUCUGAUACGAAAUCCAUCUCCUACUAUUUAUUAAUACUAUAUAUAUUAUAUUCACAACGACCUCGAACCCUCAAGAGUAAACAAGAGAGACAGAGACAGGCAGAAACAAGGAAAAUGCCCCUUGUAUUUGAAUACUAUGUAAUAUUCUUUUAAAAAACUUUUCUUUUAAUUUUUCCAAAAUUUAAUUGUUUUCCGUACUUACAGUUGAAAAGGUUUCAAUGACUGAAACCGGUACUGAAAUGUUUUUUAUAAAAUUAUUUUAGCAUUUUCUACCUUGGUUCUUAUUUCCAUAUAUAUAUAUAUCAAAUAGCUAACUUAAGGCGAUGGCCUCAUGGAGCUAAUAAGCGGACAGCUUUUUUCUUAUUUUUAUAAGAAUGCCAUAUUAGUAUGGCGAUAACUAUUAUUUUCCGGGAACGCUGCCGCUGUUCUCUUUUAGAGAGACUUAGUUAUUUUAAUAUUUCUAUUAUAUAUAUAUAUAUAUAUAUAUAUAUAUAUAUAUAUAUAUAUAUAUAUAUAUAUAUAUAUUGUGUGUGUGUGUGUGUGUGUGUGUAUAUAUAUAUAUAUGUAUAUAUAUAUGUAUGAGUGCAUGUCUUUGUAUCUGUUUGACUCCCAUCACCGCUUGACAACUGGUGUUGGUGUGUUUACAUCCCAGCAACUUAGCAGUUCGGCAUAAGAUACCCAUAGAAUAAGUACUAUGCUUAAGGAAUAAGUCCUGGGAUCAAUUUGUUCGAUUAAAAGCCUUCAAGGCAGUGCUCCAGUAUGGCCACAGCCAAAUGACUGAAACAAGUAAAAAAAUAAAAGAAUCAAAGAAUAUGUGUGUGUGUGUGUAUAUAUAUAUAUAUAUGUAAGUAUUUUUAAUCCAAUGUAUUAUAGCUAUUGUACGUAUGUAGCUGAAUUUGCUUCGAGAUACUUUUCACAAACGUUUAAACGUAGAUACACGUGCGUGCACGCAUACAGAUACACACGCUUCCUAUCUAUCUAUCUAUCUAUCUAUCUAUCUAUCUAUCUAUCUAUCUAUCUAUCUAUCUAUCUAUAUAUAUAUAUAUAUAUAUAUAUAUAUAUAUAUAUAUAUAUAUAUAUAUAUAUAACACACACACACAUAUAUACAUAUAGAUAGAUAGAUAGAUAGAUAGAUAGAUAGAUAGAUAGAUAGAUAGAUAGAUAGAUAGAUAGAUAGAUAGAUAGAUAGAUAGAUAUAGGGAAAGGGAGUAAAAGAAGUGGGACAGUAGAGUGUAUAAAAUGUUGUGAGUCAUUUGCGUGAUAGAGUCCGCUGCUUGACCUUUCGUGAUCAGAGGUAUGUAUCAAUAGGUGAUCAGGUCUAUUGACCUUUCUGCAGAUUGAUCAGUGGUACCUGUUCCCGACAGUUAAGUGCCCAGAAACAUAACAAAACGCCAUUAGCGGAUUUGAACACACAAUCCACAAAUGCUUGGGCCAAUAAGGAACUUAUUCGGCCUUUUUUCUUCACCCUUCUACAUGUACACAUACGCAUUCACAUGCACAUCUACCUAUCUAUCUAUCUAUCUAUCUAUCUAUCUAUCUAUCUAUCUAUCUAUCUAUCUAUCUAUCUAUCUAUCUAUCUAUAUAAAUAUAUGUAUGUAUAUAUAUAUAUAUAUAUAUAUAUAUAUAUAUAUAUAUUCAGUCUAUUUAUACUUAUCUCUCUCUAUAUAAACGGCAGUUUGUCUGUCUGUGUGUCUGUUAGGUUGUACCCUCACCCUGACCACGGCUUUCAACCGAUUCUGAUGAAACUUGACACACACAUAGCCCAAUGUCAUAAUUCAAAACUAACGCAGCGAAAAUUUUGAAAAGUUCCCCCAGUUCUGAAAGAGGAAUGAUUUGGCGUUUGAAUAAUUCACCUCUGGAAACAUGGGUGUUUCGUUUACAUCCUUAAACAACCCUUAUUCUAGGACCUUUUGAACAAGAUGGGCUACUCGACCUGAAGAAAAUUCUAACUGGGCCCCACCUGCAAGGUCAUGCGCUGUUUAUCUUGAUAUGGAAUCACCAUAUUAUGCACAUAUGGUUGUGAUACAUAUGCCUGGUGUCCCCCUAUCAGACGGGUAGUCAUAAUGGGUAUACUGGGCUUCGUAUAUUUUACCCCAGUAUCACUUUGAUGGAAUGCGUUCCUCUCUUGCUCAAUAAUAAUAAUAAUAAUAAUAAUAAUAAUAAUAAUAAUAAUAAUAAUAAUAAUAAUAAUAAUAAUAAUGCCCUGAUGCAGUACCCGACAAUGGCUCUCGUGGCCUCUGAUCUUAACUGAUUGGAAGUGUUAUCAUGUGCAGGCUUUGUCUUGGAAUAAAAAAUGGGCCACAACAAAUAUUCGGCUCAAUACCACAAAAUUGAUUGUCAGUUGUUUAACCUUAACCAGUAGAGCAUGUCCCUUAGUGGAUGACGAUAUGUGCAUCUGUGAUCACGAGCAGAGGUAGUGGGGGAGCAUCACAGCCAUAUCUUGAGAGGAAAUCUUUGUGAUUUGAAUGAUUCAUCUCUGGAAAGAUGAGUGUUUCGUCCAACAUCCUUAAACAUCCCUUAUUCAGGGACCUUUUGAGCAGGAUUGGCUACUCGACCUGAAGAAAAUUCUAACUGGACCCAACCUGCAAGGUUAUGCGCUGUUUAUCUUGAUAUGAGAUCACCAUAUCGUGUACAUACGGUCGUGAUGUGUAUGCCUGGUAUACCCUCUUCAGACGGGUAAUCAUGAUGGGCAUACCGGGCUUUGUAUAUUUUACCCCACUGUCACUCUGAUGGCAUGCACUACUCUCUCAUUCAAUAAUAAUGAUAAGCGUAAUGCGGCGAGCUGGCAGAAACGUUAGCACGCCGGGCGAAACGCUUAGCGGUGUUUCGUAUGUCUUUACGUUCUGAGUUCAAAUUCCGCCGAGGCCGAAUUUGCCUUUCAUCCUUUCGGAGCAGAUAAAAUAAAUACCUGUUGCGUACUAGGGUCGAUCUAAUCGACUGGCUCUCUUCCUAAAAAUUUCGGGUCUUGUGCCUAGAGUAGGAAAGAAAAUAAUAAUAAUAAUAAUAAUAAUAAUAAUAAUAAUAAUAAUAAUAAUAAGCUUUAUAAUCCCCAAUAAUAUUAUGCAAAUUAAUAUUUUGAUUGUUAAAUUAUGUUAGCUAGAAAAGGAAGGGUAGUGCCCUUAACCUUUGCAAGUAAUACUUCGUCAUUGGGGAGAUUGAAGUUGUUGAUGCUCAUUUUAAGCAUCUGAAGGUCGGUGUCUGCAGGGAAAAAGGUAGGCGGUGAGGAAAUUCCAGAGAUUCGUGGUUAUUGUAGCGGAGUGAUGGUUGUUAUGGUGAUGGUGGGUGUUGUGGCUAUAGUAGUUGCUAGUAAUAGUUGUGGUGAUGGUGGUGGUGGUGGUGAUUGCUGAUGUGGUGAUGUAGUUGGUGGUUAUUGAGGUAGUUGGGUUAUAGUUGUGCUGAUAGUUAUGGUGAUAGUUGUGAUGGUCACCGGCAGUGGUAAUGAUUGUGUUGGCGGUGGUUAUGGUGGUCGCUGUGGUAAUAACCGCUAGUUCUGGUUGAUGUGUUAGUUGGGUGUUGGCAGUGGUGAAAAUUGUAAUAAUUGUUCUGGUUGUUAUUGUUUAGUCGUUGGUCAUCUCUGAUCGUGCAGACUUAUGAUCAAAGGCAUUCCAAUCGUAACCAUCCCGUAUUUUACUUAUGUGUCGAUAUGAAAGAGGUUUGGUUACUAUUUCGAGCGAGUCAAACGACCAUUUAAGGGACAGACGUUGGGUAGUCAGUUUCUGGUGAAGAUCUACGUUGUGAUAGUAGUUGUUGGUGGUGAAAGUAGUAGUAGUAGUAGUAGUAGUAAUAGUAGUAAUGGUAGUGGUAAUGGUUGCGGUCGAAGAAAUGGUGGUGGAGUGCUUGAGGUGGUAGUAUAAGUAGUGAUGGUGAUAGUAAUAGCAGCAGCAGUAGCAAUAGCAGUAGUAGUAGUGGUUGUGGUGGUGGUGGUGAUGGUGGUGGCGGCAGCGGCGUAUACUUAUUUUGGCAGAAUUCUUUUUGUAUUUAUACGAAUCAACUAGUGAGAAAGUAAGUCACGUGAUGAAAAUUUGGUUUGUGAAGUCAGAAAAAGAAUGAAUGACAGGAGAUAAAGAAAGAAAGAGACAGAGUGAGAGAAAGUAUAAGGAUGUUAACCGAAAAAAAAAAUCAGUCAGUAAUAAAAGAAUAUGGGGGAAAAAGGAGAGGAAAAAAGAGGUAAAUGAGGAAGACAAGAAAAACAGUAAAUAAGUAUGAAUGUAAUUUAAAGAGAUAUAAAAGUUUUAGAGAAAACCACAGAAAAAGAAAAAUGAGAGAAAGAGGGGGGGGAGAGGGAGGAGAGUGAGGUGAGUAUAUAUGUAUGGUUGAAGGAAGAUAUAUAGAAAGAUGUUAGCAACAGUGUGUUGAAGGAAGUGGAUACAGUGAAACACCUACAAAGAUGAUUCAAAUGAGUCACGCGUUAUCGUACGUGAACGUAAACGUCGAAGCUAAGCUUGGAAUUCAUUGAGAAAUCUCGCCUGUUACAACUAUUAUCAGUUUGCCUUCCCCUUACUCACCCUCUUUGUUUGUCUUCAAUAUGCGAGUUUCACCUUCUCUUUGCCUACUCCUUGACAUUUCUUCUUCCUCCUAUCUCUAUCCUUGACUCAUUUUUUGAGUUACAUUCCCACUUAUACUUUUAUUACACUAAAAUUUCAUGUCAUCUCCUUUCCUACUUCACUAUAUCUUUAUCUCUAUAAAUACUAGCAUGUCAAGCACCGUAGAUUAGUGGUAAGACCACCGGCGAAUCGGCAGUCAGCCAAGUUCGGUUCUUAGGAUAGCUAUUUCUGAUUCUCUCAGUUCUUGUAUACUUGAAAUUUUGGUCUUGGUUUUGGCUAAGAGAGAGAGAGUGAGAGAGAGAGUGAGAGAGAGAGAGAGAGAGAGAGAGAGAGAGAGAGAGAGAGGAUAGAGAGAGAGGAUAGAGAGAGAAAGAGAUAAUGGGGGAGGAACUACACCAGAUUGAUUUAAUUGCGGAAAUGAAUGAAAUUUUCAACGGUGAUCUCAUAGCGCAUUCAGAUUUAUAAGGUAGUUGAUUUCUCAAUCAAGCAAAAUGCUACAAACUGUUGGUUAAAUAGAAUUCAGGACUUGACUGGUUUUAGUUAUUUGACAAUGAAAGCAUCAACAAGACAUUUUCUCUGACAAUCUACCGAUUCUACCAACGAGCACAAUUGUCUUGGAAAGAAGGUCAAUAUGAUGAGAUGAUUGAUGUGCAAAAUUUGAAAAUUACUAUAGACAAAUGAUAUUUUCUAGCCUAGACCACAGUCAAUUACAUCGAACCCAUGUUAUUUACAAAGGCAAUAUAGAUUCAUCUAUGUUAGAAAAAAAAAAAAAAAAGACUGGAGCAGAGAAAUCAAGGCAAAUUCUUUUACCCUCUUGCUAUAAUGGACCGUAGAACAUAUCAAUAUAUUUACUAACCAACAUUGCGUGUUAGAACAAGAAGGAACAACUAUACGUACGUUUCAACUGGACUGCGGCCAUGUUAGGCUUACCGUCUUGAAGAGACGGUACCUUUGCAUGGCCACAGACCAAUGGCAGGUUUAGUCGAUCAAAUCUAUCAUAGUACUUAUUUUAAAUCUGGUAUUUGAUCUGUUGGACUCUUUUGAUGAACAGCUAAAUUACGGGGGCGUAAGCAAACCAUCACCAGUUGUCAAGCAGUUAGAGACAAGCACAAGCACACGCACACAGACAUGUGCUUAACGGGCUACGGGCUACUCGCAGUUUCUUUCAUAUUCACGCGAGGCAUUAGAUAGCCCGAGGCUAUAGUAAAAGACACUUGCCCAAUGUACCUCGCCGUGGGACUGGGCCUAAAAACACGUGGAUGCGGAGCGAACUUCUUAACUACAAAGUCAUACCUGGAUCUAUGAUAUCUACAGUUUGAAAUGUCUUAUUUAAUCGUCAUUACAAUGUUAGGUUUGUCUGGAAAUUCGAUUCUCUUUUCUUUAGCGUGUCGGACAAAAGUGAUUAGUAGCAUUUCUUUCGGCUCUUUACGUACUGAGUUCAAAUUUUCCCUAAGUUGAUCUUUCCUUUCACCCUUUCGGGGUUGAUAAAAUAAGUACAAGUUGAGCACUGGGGUCGAUAUAUUCGACUUACUCCCUCCUCUAAAAUAGCUAGCUUUGUACCAAAAUUUGUACCAAUAUUUACAUCGACAGCUUCAUUUAUAUGUUCUAAGAAUUGUUUCAGAACUAAUGGAGUUUCGUUAGAAAUUAUAAGCAGGUUUGAAUUUCUAAAGAAUGUGACAAAUGAUUCUAUUAACAAAUGUAGAUAGAAGGGAGGAAUUUGUAGAAUGUUGGUACGAUAAUUUGCAAACUGACUGACUAAUUUUUGUUAAGCUCGAAUGUGGUUAUCGCAGCAACACCGGUGGCGAAUUGUCACAGUCGUCAGAAUAUCGGACGAAAAGCCUUACGAUAUCUAUUCACACAUUCUUAUGCUCUGACAUAAAAUCCUGUCGAGGCUAGCUUUUCCCUUCAUCCUUCCGAGAUCGAUUAAUAAAAUAUCAGUUUAAGGUAGUGAACUGGUGAAAUCGUCAAGGCGCCUGACCGGUAGCUUUGCGGUAUUUGUUUCAGCUUCUUGCGUGUCAAAUUCCGCAGUGGUCUAAUUAUUACUUAGGCAGAUUGACAGAGAUAGUGUAGAUUGUUUUUUAUAUUUGUAGCCUAGAAUAAUGUGAAUAUAUCUGGAUGUUUAGGGAACUAUAUGGGUUUGAACUAACUGCGGCAACUAACUGUGCUUGUAUGAAGCUGUCUGUAUUUUGCAUAGGUGUGAAGAGAAUGUGUAGAUAGAGCAUGAACAGAAGGGGUGAAACUGCGGAUCCUUGUUGUACUCCUUUCGAGAAAUUAAAGGUUCUUGAAGUGUUUUUCAUCUACACCCAUAGACUUGGUGAUCUGCUAGUUAAUUUGGUAGCCACUGUUUUGUUAUUUCUUCCUCAGUGAAAAGAGAGCGUUCCUUAAGACAUCCAGAGACCCAGCAAGAAUAACUGUAUUAUUAGCAAAAUCCAGAUCAGUAAUCCUGGUUUCACUAAUGAGCGCUCCACAACUUGAUCGAACAACCAUCCCGUCAAGAAUCCAGGCCAUGUAGGCAUUGAAAAGAGUGGGAGCCUAAACACAACCCUGUCAAACCACAGAGCUGUAACUGUGAAACAGUCAGAUGCUGGGCCCCCAAUCCGAACUGCACUAGCUGUUCCAGUAUACAAGGCCGUCAUUGUCCAACUACUCGGGGAAGUAUACCUCACAGCUCCAGAAUCCUCCAGAGUACACCCCUGUCCACCGAAGCGAACGCCUUGCAGAGGUCGACACUAGCUACAAAUAGCCUCUGCUGAAAACUCUGCCUUGCGCUCAAUAAGUGCACGGAGAGCCAAGAUCCUGUCAGUAUUUGACCUCUUUGGCGUAAACCCUGACUACACAGAAGCUAGCAAAUGAUUUCGUACUAUGUUUUAGCAUAACCCUUGCAAAGACCAAACGGGGCACUGAGAGGAGUCUAACAGCCCUGUAAUUGUUCAGUUGUGGCGGUCACCUUUACAUUCCCAGAUAAUUAUGUCCUUCUUCUAGUUAGGCGGUGUGAUGCCACUGUUCGAAAUUGAGCAGAUGAUCUGUCACAAAAAUAAGACUGCAGUAGGUUCACUUUUGCUUCAUGAUUUCCCCUUGGAUGUCACAAACACCAGCAGCCUUCCCACCUCUCAACUGAUUUAUUGCCGCACAAACCUCGUCUGCGAAUGGUGAAAUAUGACCCCAUCCAAAAAAGAACAUCAAUAAAACACUAUACAAAGCAUUAUCAUCAACAACAAUGAUUGCACUCAAUGUCUUAUUAACAAUCUCAAAUAUAUCCACACUGCAACAUCAUAUCAAGUAUUUUUUGAAAAUCAGCCACUUAGCAACGAAGACAGGAACACAAAGUAAAGUGCAGUUUCUACAUAGACAAUAAUGAUUUUAAGCCCUUACCUUCUAUCCAGCACUUACAAAGCAAACGGUUGGAUACAGUGACAUGCUGCAACGGCUCAUCAGCCCCAUAUCUGACCCGACCAUGACCAUGUUGUAACACAUGUUUGGCAGUUUUCUGGAGUGGGGUAAUGAUUCAUAAUUUUUUUUUACUUCUAUGUUUAAUUGUUUGAUGCUGUUCGGCUCUGGGUGGUUUUAGUGAAUUGUGUUUCAUAUUGUUCUGUCUCUGGUUCCCAUGAGGUUAGCCAUUUCCGGUGUGUAAACAGGAUACUAUUUUUUGCGUUGUCUUAUGGAAUAUGUAUUUUUGACGUAUAUUUAUAACUAUUUUCUUAAAUGUACGUAUUGCUGUGUUGAUGUUGGUGAUUGUGUUGCUGCAGAAUUCUGAAAAAAAUUGUUUUCGCUUGUGAAUGAAACUCGAUCCAUCGUGAUAUUUUAAAGCUUGUAUGAAGACUUUGCUAUCUUUAUUUAUAUGCACGCUUUUGAGAGAAUAAUUGGUAGGUGGUCUUUGGAAAGUUAGGAACUUAUUUGCCAGGUGCAUAUGAUAGUUUGUAGAGAAGGUGAUACCUAAGGGGAAAAAAUUGGCGGGUUAGCUUGAUAAUGAAUAUUUGUGAAUUGUUUAAGAUAUAAAGAAAAUCUAGUUUUGUCAUCUGCACUGUUUGAAAACUAACCUUGACUGUACUGAAGCUUCUCCUAAAUGAUGAUGUUUGUGAGAAUGUUAAAUUGUUGUACUUGGGGUAUAAAACUUGGUAGGACGGUUGGAGAGGUCGGUGGUGCUGUGUUUAUGUGUUUAUGUGUGCGUGCGUGCGUUUGUGUAUGUGUGUGAGUGUGUGUGUAUGUAUAUGUAUAUAUAUAUAUAUAUAUAUAUAUAUAUAUAUAUAUAUAUAUAUAUGUGUGUGUGUGUGUGUGUGUGUGUGUGUGUGUGUGUGUGUGAGCUUAUAUUAAUGUAAUUCAUGUUUUUUUUUAUUGCGCAGUCACAUGACCAACAAAAAGUGCAGCCAAAUUUCCCUGAAACCCUACCCUGGCAUUUCCUAAAAUAUUUAAAUAUAUGGAAAUAUACCAAUACUGAAUAUGAUAUGGCCGAAGAGAAGACAUGAUGGUCACGGCUAGGAUGCCAGUCAAAUUUUGUGUGCAUGAUACCCAGACUUAUUUCUCUUGCUUGAAUGCUGCCAUAGAACAACUACUAAGAAUAUGUUCAAA
rnacentral:lncRNA from 1 species